rnacentral:rRNA from 1 species
UACGAAGGGGGCUAGCGUUGCUCGGAAUUACUGGGCGUAAAGCGCACGUAGGCGGAUUGUUAAGUCGGGGGUGAAACCCUGGAGCUCAACUCCAGAACUGCCUUCGAUACUGGCGAUCUCGAGUUCGGGAGAGGUGAGUGGAACUGCGAGUGUAGAGGUGAAAUUCGUAGAUAUUCGCAAGAACACCAGUGGCGAAGGCGGCUCACUGGCCCGAUACUGACGCUGAGGUGCGAAAGCUAGGGUAGCGAACGGG